GCCGCGGUGGCGGAAUUGGUAGACGCGCGAGACUUAAAAUCUCGUUCUAGCAAUGGAGUGUGGGUUCGAUUCCCACCCGCGGCA
rnacentral:tRNA from 1 species